AUGGCGCGCCCCGCUGCAACAAGAAGCACUAUUGGUAGUACGUUAGCCGUCACGCUGCUAGCUUGGCUACUUGUCCUCCAGCUUCUCCUUCUGGCGCCGGCGCCUGCAGCCGCCAGGAGGGCGACGACCGUCAGCCAGGCGCCCAACUCUCUGUCCACAAAGCCGCCCAGGUCGAGCACCAACGCCCUGGUCAAAAAGGCGCGCCGUCGCAACCAAAACACGGACCAGCUGGGCAGCGCGGCGGCGGACGACGCCGGCUACAUCGUCCUCUACAACGUCUCCAUCGGGGCCACGCAGAACGACGUCUCCGGCGUCGUCGACCUCCUCAACGAUUUCGUCUGGACAACGCAGUGCGUGGCGGCGCCGGUCAGGGUCCCCUGCGCCAGCCAGACGUGCCGGAGCAUCCUGGCCAACGACACCACCGGCACGGACGCCUGUGGCGGCAAUCCCAACGGCGACGAUCGCUGCAGGUACGUUUACGUGUACGGGCCGGGGAUCAACACCACGGGCUUCGUCGCCAACGAGUCGGUCGCCGUGGCGGUGGGGGGCAUCGCCGGCAGCGCGGUGUUGGGGUGCAGCACCGCCAACAGCACCGUGCCCCUCGAAGGCGAGCCGGGCAGCUUCGGCUUCAACAGGGGGUCACUCUCCUUCGUGUCGCAGCUCAGCGUCAACAAGUUCUCCUACUACCUGGCCCCCGACGAAGCCGGCAGCUCCGACUCCGAGAGCGUUGUGUUACUCGGCGACGCCGCCGUGCCACAGACCAGGCGCGGCGGCCGCUCGACGCCGCUGCUCAGGGGCACCGCGUUCCCGGACGUCUACUACGUCAAGCUCAUCUCCAUAGAGAUUGACGGUCAGGCCCUGGGCGGCAUCCCCGCUGGGGCGUUCGACCUUGCCGCCGACGGCAGCUCCGGUGGCGUGGUCAUCAGCACGCUCACCCCCGUCACCCGCCUCCAAGAGGACGCCUACAAAGCCGUGAGGCAGGCGCUGGUGAGCAAGAUCACGGCGCGAGAGGUGAGCGGCUCAGCUUUCGCCGGUGGCCUGUUCGAUCUAUGCUACAACGCGCAGUCCGUGGCGGCGCUGAGCUUCCCUAAGAUUACGCUGGUGUUCGACGGUGGGGAUACGCCGGCCAUUGAGCUCACGACGGUGCACUACUUCUUCAAGGACGACGUCACCGGGUUGCAGUGCCUCACCAUGCUGCCGAUGCCCGUGGGCACGCCCUUCGGCUCUGUCCUGGGAACCAUGGUGCAGGCGGGCACCAACAUGAUCUACGACGUCGGCGGCAAGACGCUGACGCUCGAGGAGGGCGCAGCGGCUCUGCCCGCCUCACAGGUGGUGUCGCUCAUGGUGAUAGCCUCUCUGCUCCUUGCUUGGGUGCUACUCUUCUAG
rnacentral:rRNA from 1 species